UUCAACUGGUACAUCACAAUCAAGCCAUGUUACAACAAGCACUCCUGCAACCUUCAGUUCUUCCACCAGCACAUCCGUUACAUCCAGCAAAAUACCUCCAUGCUUUUGUCAUGUGUUUGAAACUUUAUUUUCUCCUGGGGAAGUGGUAUACAACAGAACAGAUAGAGCUGGCUGUAAUUUUUAUGCACUUUGCAGCAAGGAAUGUGAGAUUGAGCCCUUCUACGGGCCAUGUCAUCUGACAACUCCCGCUCCUUCAGUCGCCUCAACUACAUCACAAGCUGCCUCACCAACCACAGCAACAACCACCACAAUUUCAGUAGAAAGAAACUGCACUGAUGUCAAUCCUGCACGAAAGCCUGGAGAGGAGUGGAUAGAAGAAUGCCAGAAAUGUGUCUGUGAUUCCCUCACUGCUACUGCACAAUGCCAGCCACUCCCAUGCCAAACAGCUCAGC